rnacentral:rRNA from 1 species
UGGGGAAUAUUGCACAAUGGGCGAAAGCCUGAUGCAGCAACGCCGCGUGAGGGACGACGGCCUUCGGGUUGUAAACCUCUUUUAGCAAGGAAGAAGCGAAAGUGACGGUACUUGCAGAAAAAGCGCCGGCUAACUACGUGCCAGCAGCCGCGGUAAUACGUAGGGCGCAAGCGUUAUCCGGAAUUAUUGGGCGUAAAGAGCUCGUAGGCGGUUUGUCGCGUCUGCUGUGAAAACCCGAGGCUCAACCUCGGGCCUGCAGUGGGUACGGGCAGACUAGAGUGCGGUAGGGGAGAUUGGAACUCCUGGUGUAGCGGUGGAAUGCGCAGAUAUCAGGAAGAACACCGAUGGCGAAGGCGGAUCUCUGGGCCGUAACUGACGCUGAGGAGCGAAAGGGUGGGGAGCAAACAGGCUUAGAUACCCUGGUAGUCCACCCCGUAAACGUUGGGAACUAGUUGUGGGGUCCAUUCCACGGAUUCCGUGACGCAGCUAACGCAUUAAGUUCCCCGCCUGGGGGAGUACGGCCGCAAGGCCUAAAACUUGAAAGGAAUUGACGGGGUCAUAGCUGUUCCU